GGCGCUGCGGGCAGCCAGUGACCCCCAGACCCCGAGCCGACAACAGGAGGAACAGAACCACUGAGGCCUUCGGACAAAGUGGUGGAGGAGAGCCGCACUGGGAGAGAGAGAGCACAGAUGUCAAAGCUCAUGGCGGCAGGGAGUUGAACCCUCCAUCUCCUUGUGAUCAAGAGAGUUGAACCGUCCAUCUCUUUGUGAUCCAGGGAGUUGAACCAUCCAUUUCCUUGUGAUCCAGGGAGUUGAACCAUCCAUCUCCUUGUGAUUCAGGGAGUUGAACCGUCCAUCUCCUUGUGAUUCAGGGAGUUAGGGAAUUGAACCGUCUAUCUUCUUGUGAUUCAGGGAGGUUUUUCAGAUGUUACAGAGCAGGGAGGGCAUGGAUAAUAAAGGGAUGACCCCUCCAAUUAUAACUUUCAGACACAGCAUGAUUUUUUUAUUAAAGUAAGUAGAAACAAGGUUGUCUGUUUGCUUACAUGUUUGAAGAUUGAAAUAACCAUGCACUAAGAACGUGUCAUAAAGGGUUUUGCUGUUUUCUCUUCUAUGUAAUCAAACACACAAUUGAUUCAUGGCAAAGGAAGAGAGAGGAAAUGUUUGUGGUGUUAUCCCAAAGGAUAUAAAUAAUCAAAAUUUCCUGUUUGCACCUGUUCAGCAAUGUGUGUUAUCACAGACAAUAUUAUCUCUACGUAUGCAAGGUAUGAAAUUACAUUACAAUCGUUCCUCUUUACUGCCAUCAUGUUUCUUGUGGCUUUUUUAAAAUAGUUUGUUUAAUGUGAACAAAACACACAUUUGUUGUCAAGUUCGUUUGUGUUAACAUUUUCAUGCAAUUUACAAGCAAAUAGAGUCAAACUUUAUUGAACAAAACAAUCAAAAUUAGCAGACUCUAAUGGAUUUCUUAAUGAGUUUUUUAUUUUUUAAAUCGGAUGCCAAAGGAAGAUGUUAUUAGAAGAUAAGGUUGGUUGCUAAAGCAUGAUUGUUCACAUCACACAUGUGGUCAGUUGGCUGCGAAGCAGAUCCAUAGAUACCUCAGGUCCAUACCUCAGGUCCUUGGAUACCUCAGUUCCAUACCUCAGGUCUAUACCUCAGGUCAGUACCCCAGGUCCAUACCCCAGGUCCAAACCUCAGGUUCAUGGAUACCUCAGGUCCAUACCUCAGGUCCAUUCCCCAGGUCCAUGGAUGUCUCAGGUCCAUACCCCAGGUCCAUGGAUACAUCAGGUCCAUGGAUAUCUCAGGUCCAUACCCCAGGUCCAUACCUCUGGCCCAUGGUGCAGUGCUGCAUCUCUGGUCAGCUGGUAGUCUGAGAUGAAGCACUGUAGCUCGGGACAGAGGACUGAGCCAGCUGCCUGCUGAAGAGGACGUAUCAGACACCACUGUACCGGAGGACGUAAAAUUAGGAAGAACCACGCAUGUCUAAAGUAGCAAAUGUUUACGGUCAAAUCUGUAUUAAGUGUUCCCAUUAUAAGGUGGCCAGAAAAUGAAGCUUUCAAUAAGAUCUUGUUCCCCUUUCUCCCGGGGUCCAGUUUUCCCAGGAAUCCCUUGUUGAACAUGAAAGCGGGAUUCCUGGAAAUACUGUUCUUGGGGGCGGGGCUUAGCAGCCUUUUAAAAGCACCCUAUAUGCUCUGUGGAGCUAUGGGAAGGAUGAUGUUUUUACUAGAGAAAAUAUCUUACAUACUUAUUGUGCUCCUUGUUGCAAGUAUAAACAAUAAACAAAAAUCAUAUUUUUUCUUUGAAUAAAAAAAGGGUUGGAAAAAUUGUCUUUCCUUUGUGUUGGUUAUUAAGAACUGAAGAACUAUUAAUUAAUAAAAAAUGUAAACAUAAAUUAUUGUUUCACUUUGCUAAACAAGCUGUUCUGCUAAACCGGAAAAAAUAAAACCCAAACCGUUAUUGUAUUCAAAUGUAAAUGCACAUCCUAUUAGCCUACUAAUUAUUCAAUCAGAAGACAAUUUGACACAAAGCACGGGUCAGGUGUUUCCUAGAGGCCUACAUUCUGAAAGAGCCGGUCGGGGUAGGGCUAUGGAGCAAGGGGGUGAUGGGGGGGCCUGACCCCUCGAUAUGAUGAAGGCCUUCCUAGAGAUUCACCAGGAGAACUCUGGGGCAAGAUGUUUACGCAAGUUUAGACCAUAUGCUUAGACAGAGACAAAUCGAAGUGUUGAUCACCCAGAACGGUUUUCAAUAUAUCACCUUAAUAUGAACUAUUUACCCAACUUUAAUGUGUACAUUUUAACACCAACGUUUGCAAUGGGCUACGACUGAAAGCAGCAACGUUACUUCAAAAAUGGCAAAUUUUUGUAUUAAAUGAUUGUAUCCUUCCUAAAUCCAUUUAAUUGGGGGAUUUGAGGGAAACACAUCAUUGAUGAAUCUGGAUAAGGCAUAGGAGGCCUAAUGAUCUAUUUUUUGUCUAUUAUUGUCUAGUCUAGUAUUUGUAUUCAGCAAAUAGACACAUUUUACAGAAAUAGUUUUAGUGCCAGUGAGACUAUUAUUGGAAGAUAAUUAUCAAGAGUUCUGGAUACAUCCUUUAUGUUAGGUCAGCUCUCUGGAGCGACUGCCUUAAUAAAUGAGUCCCUCCCAGUAAUGGAGCGGCAUCUAGUGGCUAUGCGGUCACAUUUCAUUAGACCUUAUAUUGACUGGGAGGUGCAGUGCGUAGAAUUUAGUGAGCUCAAGCGCAAAGGACUUGGUAGAGAUGGAAUAUAAUAAUCAGUAUGUGUGUGUUAUGUAGUGUGUAAAGCGUGUGACGUCACACGAUCUAGCCUAUGGCACGCCAACGGGGCCAAAGCGUCUGUCAAAAUAACGCCUCCACCACGCCUAUAUUACUUCUCCUUCUGAAGUAAAAAAAACUGACGCCUGGGCUUACAGACGUCAUAUUUUUACGUGUGCCACGCGUAAAAACUUUGCGUAUAAUGUCAGAAGUAAAAAAAUGACGCCUGGUCGAUUUGCUGCAAUGCCUACUGCCAGCCAGCAAUUCAUGUGUUACAAAGCAUACUUUUGACAUGUUGCAGUGUUGGCCCAAUGGUGGAUGUAUAAUGCUAUAUUGCUUUUAUUUUGUUUAUUUAUUCAUGACUGUGAACUGAAAACUGAAUUGUCCACUUCUGGGAUAAAUAAAGUUAUCUGAAUUAUUUAUUGAGAAGAUACACGACUCAUGCACGCAAUAGGAAUGAUUAACUUUGCAGAGGCUUGUGCUCUCCAGAUGCCGCUCCACAGAGAAUAAUUUGAAGAGUUGCAGACAAUGUCACCCAUUUCUUUUCAGAAGUGAUCGAAAUAGUAAUAGCCUAUAUCAUGGCUGUGUCACACUAAAUUUGUACCGGCUGCCAAAUUUGUACCGGUCGCGUCAUCCAUACGUAAUCCAUUCCAAACCUGCCUGCAACAGAUGAUCGCGUCGUCCGUUGCUGGGCAGGUUUCAAAAAACAUUCGCGCUCAUGUUGCCAAAGACGAAAUAACAUAAUACAGUUAACGGAUCGCUAGAUAACACUUGUUUU